UACUAUACACAAAGUAGAAAUGGUUUGUAAACAUAUACUUGGUUUUGGAUCGUGAAAUGUUCUACUGAGGCAAAGAAUAUGGUAUCCAAGAAGAAAUCUGUACCCCACAAGCCCACAUACCCUGAUGCAGAAAAUGAGGCACAUCUAGAUUGCAGGCUGCCAUCCUAUCUGCACAUGAUGAGCACACAUCUGGUUAUUGCUAUCACUGCAUAUAAGGUAGAUG